UCAGUACUGACACACCUGAGCUGGAAGCUUCCACCAAAGAUCGAAGUACCCCUGGGGACAGAAUCCCAUCAGCAUUAUCGGCAGGCUUGCCCGGCUGUGUGUCUAAGCAGAGCACUGUCAGGCCAUUCCACAGGCUGGGGCAGCAGUCAUUAACCUCUUCCAGAAAGCCGGGUCUCUUUCGGAGCCGUGUGAGAGGCUCCAGACGUGCCCUCCAACGGUCCCUCGAGCCAGGCCAGGGGAGAAGGGGGCCCCCAGCCAGGAAGACCUCACGUACAGACUUGAGCAAAGCACGUGGUGGGGAAGCACGGCAGCAGAGGAAGUGGGGAGCCAGCCGUCCGCACGGGGACCUGGCAGCACGUGCCAGCCUGGCUCCCACGGGUCAAGACCCGCGCCUGCCAGAGGGGCGCUUGUGCCGCCAACAGCUGGGAGCUUCCUCUCCGAGGUGGCCUCGCGGCUGCCAGCCGGAGGAAGCAGGGAUCCGGGCAGACCGACGGGGUGAUGGGCAGAAGACGACGCGCCUUGCCUCCUUACCAACCGCCUAGGGUCGGAGCCCGUCCGGGCCCCUCUCUGCGCUCCUCGCGGUCGCCGGCCCGCACCUCCACACUCUCCAGCCCAGGCAUGGCUGCUCAGUCCCCGAGGCGACACCAGAUCUCCCCACCACGUCGCCCCCGGCCGUCGGCGCGCGCCCCUCGGUGGCUCACUCCGCAAGACCCAGCCGCUCCAGCCCCUCCGGAGACAGCCCCAAACCUCUCCCUCUCAGCCUCGAAGCCGAGACCCCCGAGGCCGCACUCACGGUUGGCGAUGUCGCCCCCCAUCUUAUACUUGGUCACGACCAGGUCCUCGGCGAUAGUUUGCUCCUGCUGCUCGUCUUCGCCCGACAUCUUCCGACCACCACUACUGCAGCCUCACUUUCCCUGAGCUGCGGCCUCCGUCUCCCUUCCCAGCCACAAGCUGGAGGCAGAGUCUCUUCGAUCCGCGAGGAAAGCGCGAGCAAGCAAGGGAGCAGGAGGGCGGGCGGGGAGAGCGAGAAGCUGCGAGCGCGCGGGCUGAGGCGCAGGGCACGCUGGGACAAUGAGUCCGGCCGGCGGCCGGCCUCCAGUCGCCCUCGUGGGCUCGGGAACUACAAUUCCCAGCCUGCUCCUCGCGCCCCUCCGCCAGGCCCUGGGGCCUUGCCCUCCCGGGUCUGCGCACGCCGGAAUCGCCGGGCACGCUGGGAAGGGUUUGGCUCCGGCGGGAAGGCGGAGCCGUUGGGGAGCCUGAGGGAAAGCGUGGUCUCUCCGGGAAAAACCUCCCUCACCGGAGAGCGGAGCCGGGACUCGUAACAGAGGGGGGCGGGCUACGCGCGGCGGGGCGGAGCUACGCGGGGAACAGGGGUGGGAGGCGGCUGGGCGGGGUGGAGCGGGGUGGAGCCGGGGCGCCGGGUCGGUGUUGCACACCUAGGGCGGUCAUCCCGAGCGUAGCCUUGGACUCCCGGAUUGGCCCAGAAUGCAAGAGUAGUAACAUGCUGGCAGCUCAGACAUGCCAAGGAGAAGUGGUUUCCACUUGAGAAAAGGAGAGUCUGAUGAGAAACAAAAGCAAAGUCUAACAAGUAAGAGCCCCAGAGAAAGGGGCUUAGAGAGAGCAGACCUUCAUAUCUCCAGGGGGUCUCCCUGAGGAAGCUGAGGAACGGGCUUGGGAAAGCAGACCAACAGGAAAACCUUCUCUUCCCUGGGGCCGGGGCCGAGAAGAAAGUGCACAGCUGACUGGCUAUACAGCACGGAAUUGUUACCCAGCACGGAACUGAGACCUACUGAAGAAAGGGUACCUUCCCGGGAGGAGGGUGUACCUGUGGUUGAGAAAAAUCGUCUGGGAUUUCAGCGAGUCUCAGCCCCGCAUAGGGCUCUGCCCCGAAAGUCAUCAACUCCCACACCGUAACCCCUGACAGAGAAAGAAAUUAACUAGUUUUCUGUCGUCCUUUGAUUUCUACUCCCCGAAUUGACCCUGACUCGCCUACUCAUCUCAGAGAGAGCCCCUGGUUACUGUCAGCCACACCAAAAUCUGCCACCUGGACCUGACUAGGUGACUUGAGCAGCACAUUCCGGAGAGCGAGGUCCCUGUGCACCAUACUGUGUUCCUCCAGCAGGUGCUGUCGUUGGCCUCCUCCAUCCUCAGAACCUCCGACCCGGGAUCUCCCGCCUCUGCCCUGGCUUUCCCCGGUCCAGCAGGUGCUGUCGUGGGCCUCCCCCAGACCCCUCACCUUGGCGAUCUGUACUCCCCAGUUGAGCAGCAGCUGGGGCCCCAGCGCCCCACGGUGCUGUCUCACAUAGUCAAGGAGGGAGCCCAGAGGCAAGUAUUGUGUGACAAGCUGCAGAGACGACCCCGGGCAUAGUCCCAGAAGCCGUACGAUGUGGGCAUGGUCUAGGCUACCGAUGGCCAGCAUAUGCUGCAAAACAUAAGAGACUUCCUGUGAGUUCCUCACCUUGUGCACAGUUCCAAAGACACCAGAGCCCAACACUUUAAGCUUCCUCAGCUCUGUCUCUUUGAAGAUUCUGGCCAAGACUUUGUUUGCUUUCUCGCUGGGGUCCAGAGGCUCGAUGCUC